CGGGGCAUGAGCCCGUGUCCCCUGCAUCGGCAGGCGGACUCUCAACCACUGUGCCACCAGGGAAGCCCGGGAAACAUGUUUUGAGUAGAGCGAUGGCAGGAUGCUGAGGCAUGGGAAUAUGAAACAUCAUGCACGGUUUGGAAUGCAGAGCUCUGAGGGCGUGGGGACAGGGGGGCAAAGCUAGGCCAUGUGAGGCCUUGUGAACCAUGUCGUGGAACUCGGAUUUUAUUGUGAGGCGUAUGGAGGCGGUUGAUGGUUGUGAAACAGAGAAGUGACAUGAUCAGGUUUGCCUUUUAGGAAAACCAUCUACCAACAUUGUGACUCCAGGAGCUACUAGAGAGACUGGAUCAGUGCAACUUGGCCACUCCCUGGAUGCAGGAAACCAAUUUAUUUGACUUAAAAAUCAAAUAUUGAAAGAAAAGAUAAAGCAGAAAAAUAUAUCAAACAUGUUUAUAGAGUUAAAUAGGACACUGGAGGAACCAGCAAUGAAGCCCAGAUCAGGUUUUCAGCUUAGCAACCAAGAAGUUGCUGCUGCUACUCAUGAAGAUAAGGGCCUUGGAGGAGGAACAAGUUUGCCGCAGAUUUCCUGCCCGUAUAUUAGGGAGAAUCAAGCUAUCGUGAGGGACCAGGUAGAACAAGCCUCUUAGGAACUAGUCGUGUGCCUCAUUAGACGAACCAGUUCCGAGCUCUCAUCUGCAGGGGCUCUGGGGGAAAGCAGAGGGCCCACACAGUACGGGGAGUGGGAUGGGGGCCUGAGGCAGAAGUGUCCAGGAGGUCCCUAGGGGAUUUCUUGUCACCUUAGAGUGACAGUAAGAACUGCACAGAAGGAAGGUGAAGGAACUUAGAAGCCUUUUAAGAAACAUAACAGUAGCCAUACUCUGCUUGAGAGCUGAGAGAAAGAAACCAUCCACAAAGAGGUCAAACUCUUGACCUAUGAUUUUCGGUUAGGAUUUUGUGUAAGUUUUUAUCUGCUAAUACCAUAUCAUCAUGCUUAACAGUUUUUAAUGUUGCAUUAUUUUAUGUCAUCUUGUAAAAACUUUGGAGGGUAAGAAGAACAGAUAUUAUCUCCAUUUUACAGAUGAGAAAGCUGAGGCUCAGGGAGAUGGUCUUAUUUAAGUUUUCAUGGCUAGAAAAUAUGAAAAUCAGGAUUAAUGCCAAAUAUUUUGACUUUUAUUUCCUUGCUCUUCCCAUUUCUUGUUAUUGCCUCUCAACAUGCAUCUUGUUAGUGGGGAACCCUUUUUCUCAUCUCCUGAUGUAUCCUUCCCAGGAAGGACACUCCAUCAGUUUAACUCCUGACCUCUCUCCCUUUCCUCACUCCAGCCCGGGGAGGUAGUAAUUUACCUGAUAGGUAAAUUUAGGAAGAAUUCUCCCCUUAUUCCUUUUGUGAAGGAGUUUGCCUGCCCAGAGAGAAUAUCUACUCUACUCUGCAAUUCUAAGAGAAAUUGCUGGUGUGACAUUGUAUAUGACCUAGCUGUCACUGGCUAAAUGACGCCCCCUUCUGAGCCCGGAGCUGUGUCAGACUCUUCCAGCUACUUCCCUACUGCAUGGAUGGACAUUAGGUUCCCAUAACCAGGGACUUUGUUGCAGGCAGAGAGCAGCUAAGCCUGCUGUUCACUGUGACAGCCAGGCAGCCUCUGGACGCCAGCGCUUCCCACAUAGACUGGACCCAGACUGCCUUCACCUCGACCCCUGCCCACGAAAUGGUCUCCUUGUUUCCAGAAUACUCCUGGCCACUCUCCCGAAUCGGGUCAAGGAAAUGGGUGCUACUUCCUAGCGAUUCCUGGAAUCACCACUGAUAGAGGACCCAGAACAGUCCCCAUCCUUAUUUAAGCUGAAGCAGACAACUGCCACCAGGUGGCGCCAACCUCAGCGGCCUGGACGUGAACAGGUAUGGCUCUUGCAGCUCUGGCUGUUAAAACUGGCCUGUCAUUUAACUAACCUGGCAAUAAUGACCCCGCAUUUACACGGAGGAAGUUUGUCCUAUCAGAGCCCACAGUACUUGUUGCUGUCAAAGGGGCCAGUUGCAAACAGUCUUUCAGAAAAGCAAGAUUCCCAGAGAAGAAAUCAUGAGGUUUAUACCCUGGACUGAGCUCAAGUGCACAGCGGCACAUUAUGGAUGUUCCUGCUGACCUGCAGACAAAUAGGAGGGUUAAAGGAUCAAUUAAAUAACCUUAACUCAUGAGCGGCAGGGAAAAUAUUUCAGCUGCAACACUGAUUGUCGUUCUGAAAGGUGAUACAACUGGUCAUUGGCAGGUGUCACUAAAACCAGGAUCUGACUCACAGACCAGUGUUCUUUGUCACCACCAGCCUGACCAUUCAUUUUGGCAGUCAACAAAUAUCCGUUGAGCUGCUUCCACAUACCAGGCACUUGGGAUGCAAAGACAUAGCAGGUUCCCUGAUAGGAAUCUUUCAUUUAGCAAAACCAAACCUCUAAAGGCAAGAGGGGUUGAACUAUUGGAAUUACUGCUUGGCAAAUGCAGAAGAGUCAACCCUGCCACACUGUGACCCAGAGAAAGAUUUUUGGAAAAUAAGGAUCAUUCUCUUCAGUUGAAAUAAAACUGCUCUGCAAGGAAUCAAAUUGGCCUUCUGUCAGCAUGAUCAUCAUGAGUCAAGAGAAAGAUGAAUGUGCUCUGUCCACAAAUGAAGUUGGCCAAGCAAACUGGGGAAGGAUGGGGGUUGGAAAGAACCUCACCAGCUUCCCCACUGAUCUGAAAAUCACGUCGAAGAUAUAUGGUGAGAGAGAGCACACAUCUCUAGUCUACAAACUGCUUUCGCUCACGGGCAGGAAGACGGAAAGACUAUCGUGUCUCGUUAGUACAAUCCUUAGAAAUCAUGCCAAAAAUGUACACACAGUUGAAAUGGAGGGGAAUGAAUGACUCAGAAUUUCUCAUGAAGGAUGCAAAGCAGUUACCCUCUGGGGCAUUUCCUUGACUAAAGCUGAGGUCAGAAAAGACAAACCAUAGUUACCAUGUGAAGGUAAAGCACUGACCACAGGGAGUGAAGUGCUCGAGACCUCAGAAUUUCUAUAGGACAGGUUUGAAGGUUACAAGGGUAACCGACAGUGCCUAUAAUAAAUACGAGAGAGAAGAUAUAGAUUACAGGGAGAUUAUAGGAGAUUAAGAGUUGGAUGCAGGAGAAUUUUCAUAUAUUUUUAAAUCAACUUGAUUAAGUAUAAUUUAUAAACAAUAAAAUGCACACAUUUUAAAGGUACAGUUUGAAGAAUUUUGACAAAAGGGUAUGUGCAUGCCGCCACCACUAUCCAGAUAUAGGCAUUUCCAUCAUCCUCAAAGUUUCUCUUUUUGCCCCUUCCUAUUCCUGGGCUAAGGUAACCACUGAUGUGCAUUUUGUCACCAGAGAUUAAAUUGAACUUUACUGUGAGUUUCAUGUGCAUGGAAUCAUGCAGUAUUUGUGUCAUGCAUUUGUGUCAUGCUUCCUUCACUCAGCAUAACAAUUUGGGAUUCAUUCUUGCUGCUACUUAUAUCAGCAGUUAGUUCUUUUUAUUUAUCCUUUGUCUGGGUGUACAACAAUUUGUUUAUCCAUUCACUUUUUUUUUUUUUUUUUUUUUUUUUUUGCGUU